rnacentral:rRNA from 1 species
GAUGAACGCUGACAGAAUGCUUAACACAUGCAAGUCUUUGGCGAAGCUGUGCUUGCACAGCCUAGCCAAGGCGGACGGGUGAGUAACGCGUAAGGAACUUGCCCUGCAGUCAGGGAUAACAGACGGAAACGACUGAUAAGACCUGGUAAAGUCAGGCGGACUCAUGUCCAGCCUGAUGAAAAGAGAUGCUGCAGGAGAGCCUUGCGUCCUAUUAGCUUGUUGGUGGGGUAACGGCCCACCAAGGCGAUGAUAGGUAGCCGGCCUGAGAGGGUGGACGGCCACAAGGGGACUGAGAUACGGCCGUUACUCCUACGGGAGGCAGCAGUGGAGAAUAUUGGACAAUGGGGGCAACCCUGAUCCAGCAAUUCUGUGUGCAAGAUGAAGGUUUUCGGAGUGUAAAGUGCUUUCAGCGGGGAAGAAAAAAAUGACGGUACCUGCAGAAGAAGCGCCGGCUAAAUACGUG